CAAUAGCGUAUAUUAAAGUUGUUGCAGUUAAAAAGCUCGUAGUUGAAUUUCGGGUCCCCGCGCUCGGCGCUUCAUUGUGCCGUCGUGGUGUCCCUCCUCGCCGUAAGGCGUCCUUUACUGUGAAAAAAUUAGAGUGUUCAAAGCAGGCAAUCGCUUGAAUACAUUAGCAUGGAAUAAUAAGAUAGGAUCUUGUCUAUUUUGUUGGUUGCGGACAACGAUAAUGAUUAAUAGGGAUAGUUGGGGGUGUCCGUAUUGAGCUGUCAGAGGUGAAAUUCUUGGAUUUGCCCAAGACGAACUACUGCGAAAGCAUUCACCAAGGAUGUUUUCAUUAA
rnacentral:rRNA from 1 species